GGGUGAGUAACGCGUGGGCAACCUGCCCUGUACCGGGGGACAACAGCCAGAAAUGGCUGCUAAUACCGCAUAAGCCUGCUGUGCCGCAUGGCACAGCAGGGAAAACCACGGUGGUACAGGAUGGGCCCGCGUCUGAUUAGCCAGUUGGCGGGGUAACGGCCCACCAAAGCGACGAUCAGUAGCCGGCCUGAGAGGGUGAACGGCCACAUUGGGACUGAGACACGGCCCAA
rnacentral:rRNA from 1 species